rnacentral:tRNA from 3 species
GCCCUCAUAGCUCAAUGGAUAGAGUACAAGCUUGCGGAGCUUGUGAUCCCCGUUCGAAUCGGGGUGAGGGCA